AAACCAAUAUAUUUGGAAAACCUUAUUUACUUUCUGCUGUUUAGACUGCUGUUUACUUUUGUACUUACUUCACACAGGCCAACACAAUUAUUAGUAUUUAUUUGACACUAUCCAAGAAUGUGUGAGGCAACUAUCAGUACAAACAGGAAGACAUAGUCACUGUCUUGAAGAUCUUAAAAUCUAUUGCCCCAGUUCUGCAAUGCGCAAGGCAUGACCGCAGCAAUCUCCUUACACACUACUACUUGUUGGCUCCAGACCUAAUUUCAAAUGGAGGGGUAACAAAACAGUAAUGAGUAUAAGGAAGGAUGGACAGAGUUAACAUCAAUAAAAUAACGUUAUCAGAAAAAGCUUAUGCACACCAUGAUGGAGCAAACAAUUAUUAAGAAUAAAUAAAUGUCUUUCUCUCAUCACAGGUCAAAGAGGAGAGGUUAGUGGCUUGGCAGACUAGUUCAAAAGGGCAUUGCAUGCAUAGAAGACAGUGGGGGUAAAGCAGCGCAACGAGAAGUAGACAAUAGGACAGAAGAGUCAUCUGUAGAAAUGUAUCAGAGUGGUAG